rnacentral:lncRNA from 1 species
GGAUACUUUCAAAUUUGUAGGCACUCUCUGACCUUUUGGGUCAGAGAGGUAAGCACUUUUCUUUUUCUUUAAAUCGCACAAUACUUUUUUUUCUUUUCUUUCUUCCUUCUCCUUUCACACACACAUGCACACACACAUACACAUUCAUACACACUCACUCACUUUAAAUUUGUAAGACUGGUCAGGGGCAGUGGUGUGUUCUCAACCAGGAUGCUGAGGUUGAGAAACCCUGCUCUUGGUCUCAUGAGGGAGUUGUAGUCCCAUAACUGAAGUUCCAAAGCCAAAUCCCAUCAGUUUUCUGUUUUUGUUUUUGUUUUUGCGCCAUGGAAUAAAUCUGGCAUCAAAGACUUACCCUUAGAUAGAAUCCACAAAUAAAGCAGGUCAGGAGAGAAGCCAACCUAUUAAGUUGUGAAUAUCCUAGGACUUUAACAAGUGUACAGGAGAAGAAGGAAUAGAAAAUUGUUACCUUUAGAAGUUCUCCUUCCUCUCUUCCCUCCCGCAUGUGCCCUUCUCUAAAGAAGGGAGAUUCAGGGUGGAUAAAGAUCUCAAGACAUCUCUUGCUCUGGCUUUUGAUCCCUCUUCUCAUUUACUUCUCUAUGCAGGGUGUAGAAAUCAUAGGUCAAAGCACAGACCUGAUUAGAAUGUAGAGUGUUAAGAGAGGCUGGCGCUGUCUUUCUCUGCCUUCGGGUUCAGCAACUGACACUGGAAGAAGUCGUUGCUAUUGACAUUAUUCGGGGAACAAUUUCAGAAGGGCCCUGGGAUUGCCUCGGAUGUUGUGAGAAGUACUUGAAUGCCAUCUGCAUGGCAAGGGGCUUUUAGAAAGAGAGGCGCCUCCUUUAAAAGAAUCACAAUGUUUUUAAUGUUAAUUACGCAGGCUCCUUCAUUAAUCAGUAAACUCCUCUAUUUAUACACAGGGGGAACUGGAAAGUGUUUCAAAAUGAAGGUUACCUAGUGGCUCCAAAAGAGAAAUUUGCUCUGUAUUUAUAUUUUGGGACUUUGAUGGUGAGCGAUUUCAGACAUCUAUCAGAUGGAAGGCUGUCUGCUUGGAGAUGUGCCUCAGUGACACACACGUUUCAUAGACUGGCUUCAAGUCUUUGCCAAGGUCUUUCUAUUCUUAUUUGUAAAAGUGCCAUCAUUCCUUUCUAGGGAUGUAACUGGAGAACAAAUCUUACAGAGAUGGUUGAGUUUUUUUCCAAUCCCAUCUUUUGCGGAGAAUCAGACUCCCCUUUGAGAAGAACCCAAGGUGAAGGGCACAACUGUCAGUGGAGAAACCUUAUCAUUGAUGUCUACUUCCUACUUUUUAAAGUCUUAACCAUGAUUGACUAAAGGCAGUUUUUCUUUAAAAAUUAAAAGAAAAAAGCAUUGCAAAUAAUGUUUGUACAUUUGAGCAUUCAAUAGCCCAAUAUCAAUGAAAGAUUUUUAUACAAUCAAAAACAGUUAUUAGGAAGGACCCAGUGUUAUUUUACGUCUUCUGGGGUACUCUUGCCAAAAAUGCAUAAUCUCCAUUCCUGGGAUGACAUCAGAUCCCCCAAAUUGAGGGACAUUCUACAGUAACUCAUCAGGACUCCUUUGUCAAGAAUUUGAAAGAUCAGGAAGGACUAAGAAAUUGUUGUAUGAGGGGUGGGGGUAGGGCCCUAAGGAAAAAUAACUGAAUGCAACAUGGGAUUCUGGAACUAGAAAAAGAUGUUAAGGAAAAACCUGGAACAAUUCAAAUAAGGUCUGUCUUUCCAUUAAUAGCAUCUUGCCAAUGAUAGUUUCCUGGCUUUGAUAAUUGGACUGUGGUUAUAUAAGAUGACAUUUUGGGGAAGCUGGGUGAGGGGUAUAUGGAAAACUAUAUUAUUUUUGCAACUUUUCUGUGAUUCUAAAAUUUGUUCAAAAUAAGCUGGUUGUUUUCAAAAGUGGUAAUUAUUAUCCACAGUGAAACAAGUUAAAUAGUUUCUGUUGUUUGCUCAUCUAGAUAACAAUUUAAAUAGCAAUUUAUGUAAAUAGUUCACAGAUGUAUUAGUUUUAUGGAUUAUAAACCUGUGAAAGUAUCAGUUCUAAACAUUAAAUAGCAAAUUAAUUUUUUUACAGAAGGGAUACAUUGGUAAAUUUUUGAGGUUAGGACUUGGCAUUUUAAAAAAUUAUUAUAGAAGUAAUAGGCAUAUUGUGAAAAACCAAAUAAUGGAAAGUAGAAACAUAUUUUCUCCUGCUCAUUUCCUAUUUCCACUUCCCCUUACCUUAUUACUGUACUACCCCCACUGUUAAAAGUUAGCUACAAAUUCAGGAGUUCGAGUUCCCCAAUGUCUGUCUAGGUGAUAAUGUGUGAAACACAAUGUCAUCAUACUGUAAAAGCCCUUCUGUACCUUGCCUUCCUCUUUCGCCACUGAACAGUAAUUCAUGACUUUGUAAAGUACCUAUAUUUCUACCUUAUGUCAUUUAUUUGCUAUAAAAUAUGACAUUUUUUAAAAUCUGUCAUAAUGUGUUUAACUACUUAUUUAUGGAAAUUUUAACUGUCUCCCAGUUAUAUUUAUAAAGUGUUGGAUGGCUCCUCUCUUCUGUGUAUUACUUAAAAAAAAAAUUAAGAAAUGUAGCUUUUAGAGAACCCCACUAGUAUCCAUAAGGGUGCAGAUUUGAUCCCUGGCCUUGCUCAGAGAGUUAAGGACCUGGCAUUGCCCCAAACCAGGUAUAGGUUGCAGAUGCGGCUGAGAUCCUGCUUUGCUGUGACUGUGGCAUAGGCAGGUAGCUGUGGCUCCGAUUCAACCUCUAUCCUGGGAACUUCCAUAUGCCGCAGGUU